UUCAGAAAGGAGCAGACUGUGGAGCAAAGGUGGUAGAGAAAACGAACCCUACAGAACCAGUUGGAGUGGUUUGCCGAGUGGAUGGAGUUUACCAGGUGGUAGAAUAUAGUGAGAUUUCCCUGGCAACAGCUCAAAAACGAAGCUCAGAUGGAAGACUGCUGUUCAAUGCGGGGAACAUUGCCAACCAUUUCUUCACUGUACCAUUUCUGAGAGAUGUUGUCAAGUAUGGGCAAGAUGGGGGCCUUUUAAAAUUAUAUUUAUUGUUAAUCAGAAACUAAGACACUUGAGAGGGAUGCAGACACCCCAGGUCCAUAUCCCACAGAAUUCAUCUUUCCUGAGGAUCACUUAUCAAAUGGACAUUUAUCUCAUGUUGUGAUUGUUUUUAGUAAGAUGUAUUGUAAGGUGGGAAUCAUUGGAGCCCAUUCCCCAGCGCAUUAAUGGGAGGCCAAAACAUUUCUGUCUUCUCACUCUCCCACCCCCAACUAUGUGCUAGGUUCUGUUGAAGCAAAGCAUAAGAAAUGAAACUUUCUUUACCACAACUGUGAGCUUUUUAAAAAUACAGAUGUUCACCUUACACCAACUGAAUUAGAAUUUCAGGAGGUGGGUUCGGGGCAUCUAUAUUUUUAGAAAGCUGCCCACAAAAUUCUAAUUCAGCCGAUU
rnacentral:sRNA from 1 species